rnacentral:tRNA from 1 species
UCCCUGAUAGCUUAGCUGGUACAGAAUCCACCUGGAAUGUAGAAGACCCUGGUUCAAUUCCUGGGUUGGGAG